UGCACACUGGGGUCCAAGGUUUCUCGGUCAGGAGAUUCAAUGUAGUUGGCUGCUUCCUGGAGCUUCAGCAACAUUGCCAUCUGUAAAGGCUUCCUGGGUGACAAACUUAGGCCUACCGAUGAGAAAGUCAGAAGUGCUAUGCUUCUCCAAGAAGGUAUGGAGGUGAUACCAGAGCUUUGGCACCCAGUCCAACACACGUAGUAGUUCCUCCCGAUUGGCAUUGACAUCACUGUCAGACUCAAGCAGCUUCCGACGCAGGCCAAAAUACUGAGUAAGAGAAAGAACUUUACAUCUUCCUCACCCCACAGAACAAGUCUCUGCCAGCUGCCGGAGACGGGAUGUCAUGUUUACCAGACUUUGUUCAAAUGCUGCUACUAAGUUAGCCUAGAAAGGAAAAG